rnacentral:rRNA from 1 species
UGGUAGAGGGGAGGUAGAAUUUUAUGGGUAGCGGUGAAAUGCGUAGAUAUCUAGAGGAAUACCUGUAGGAAAAGCGACCUCCCUGGACAAUAACUGACGCUGAGGUGCGAAAGCGUGGGAGAGCAAACAGGAUUAAGAUACCCUGGUAGUCCAUGCUGUAAACGAUGUCGACUUGGAGGUUGUUUCCUUGAGAAGUGGCUUCCGAAGCUAACGCAUUUAAGUCGACCGCCUGGGGAGUACGGCCGCAAGGCUAAAACUCAAGUGAAUUGACGGGGGCCCGCACAAGCGGUGGAGCAUGUGGUUUAAUUCGAUGCAACGCGAAGAACCUUACCUGGUCUUGACAUCCAUAAAAUUUUUUAGAGAUAAAAAAGUGCCUUUACCGGAAUUAUGAGACAGGUGCUGCAUGGCUGUCGUCAGCUCGUGUUGUGAAAUGUUGGGUUAAGUCCCGCAACGAGCGCAACCCUUGUUCUCUGUUGCCAUCAGGUUAUGCUGGGAACUCAGAGGAGACUGCCGGUUAUAAGCUGGAGGAAGGUGGGGACGACGUCAAGUCAUCAUGGCCCUUACGACCAGGGCUACACACGUGCUACAAUGGCAUAUACAAAGAGAAGCAAAUCUGCGAAGACAAGCAAAACUCAUAAAGUAUGUCUUAGUUCGGACUGGAGUCUGCAACUCGACUCCACGAAGUCGGAAUCGCUAGUAAUCGUGGGUCAGAAUGCCACGGUGAAUACGUUCCCGGGCCUUGUACACACCGCCCGUC